GAUGAACGCUGGCGGCGUGCCGAAUAAAGGAAAGUAGAGCGAAAGGAUGAGAAGCUUGUUUAUAUGAUGUUAGCGGUGGAUGGGUGAGUAAUACGUGGAUAAUUUAUCUAUAAGACUGGGAUAACUUCGGGAAACCGGAGCUAAUACCGGAUAAUAUUUUGAACCGCAUGGUUCAAAAGUGAAAGACGGUCUUGCUGUCACUUAUAGAUGGAUCCGCGCUGCAUUAGCUAGUUGGUAAGGUAACGGCUUACCAAGGCAACGAUGCAUAGCCGACCUGAGAGGGUGAUCGGCCACACUGGAACUGAGACACGGUCCAGACUCCUACGGGAGGCAGCAGUAGGGAAUCUUCCGCAAUGGGCGAAAGCCUGACGGAGCAACGCCGCGUGAGUGAUGAAGGUCUUCGGAUCGUAAAACUCUGUUAUUAGGGAAGAACAUAUGUGUAAGUAACUGUGCACAUCUUGACGGUACCUAAUCAGAAAGCCACGGCUAACUACGUA
rnacentral:rRNA from 1 species